UACGUAGGGGGCAAGCGUUGUCCGGAGUUACUGGGCGUAAAGCGCACGCAGGCGGUCUCUUAAGUUUGGCGUGACAGUUGGUGGCUUAACUGCCAAAGUGCUUCGAAAACUGAGAGACUUGAGGGCUUCAGAGGGACACGGAAUUCCGGGUGGAGUGGUGAAAUGCGUAGAUAUCAAGUGGAACACCAGUGGCGAAGGCGAGUCUCUGGACAUUUCCUGACGCUGAGGCACGAAAGCCAGGGGAGCAAACGGG
rnacentral:rRNA from 1 species